rnacentral:rRNA from 1 species
AUUGAACGCUGGCGGCAGGCUUAACACAUGCAAGUCGAGCGGAGCGAGGUUGCUUGCACCUUAGCGUAGCGGCGGACGGGUGAGUAAUGCUUAGGAAUCUGCCUAUUAGUGGGGGACAACAUUCCGAAAGGGAUGCUAAUACCGCAUACGCCCUACGGGGGAAAGCAGGGGAUCACUUGUGACUUUGCGCUAAUAGAUGAGCAGAAGUCGGAUUAGCUAGUUGGUGGGGUAAAGGCCUAAGAAGGCGACGAUCUGUAGCGGGUCUGAGAGGAGGAUCCGCCACACUGGGACUGAGACACGGCACAGACUCCUGCGGGAGGCAGCAGUGGGGAAUAUUGGGCAAUGGGGGAACCCUGAUCCAGCCAUGCCGCGUGUGUGAAGAAGGCCUUUUGGUUGUAAAGCACUUUAAGCGAGGAGGAGGCGCUCUAGGAUAAUACCCUAGAUGCGUGGACGUUACUCGCAGAAUAAGCACCGGCUAACUCUGUGCCAGCAGCCGCCGUAACAC